GUAGGUGGCAAGCGUUGUCCGGAAUUAUUGGGCGUAAAGCGCGCGCAGGCGGUCCUUUAAGUCUGAUGUGAAAGCCCACGGCUCAACCGUGGAGGGUCAUUGGAAACUGGGGGACUUGAGUACAGAAGAGGAAAGCGGAAUUCCAAGUGUAGCGGUGAAAUGCGUAGAGGUUUGGAGGAACACCAGUGGCGAAGGCGGCUUUCUGGUCUGUAACUGACGCUGAGGCGCGAAAGCGUGGGGAGCAAACAGGGAUUAGAUACCCUGGUAGUCCACGCCGUAAACGAUGAGUGCUAAGUGUUAGGGGGUUUCCCGCCCCUUAGUGCUGCAGCUAACGCAUUAAGCACUCCGCCUGGGGAUACGGCCGCAAGGCUG
rnacentral:rRNA from 1 species